rnacentral:rRNA from 1 species
UGGCUCAGAACGAACGCUGGCGGCGCGCUUAACACAUGCAAGUCGAACGAUGAUGCCCAGCUUGCUGGGUGGAUUAGUGGCGAACGGGUGAGUAACACGUGAGUAACCUGCCCUUGACUCUGGGAUAAGCCUGGGAAACUGGGUCUAAUACCGGAUAUGACCUUUCACCGCAUGGUGGGGGGUGGAAAGCUUUUGCGGUUUUGGAUGGACUCGCGGCCUAUCAGCUUGUUGGUGGGGUGAUGGCCUACCAAGUCUACGACGAGUAGCCGGCCUGAGAGGGUGACCGGCCACACUGGGAUUGACACACGGCCCAGAGAACUACCGGGAGGCA